GACGAACGCUGGCGGCGUGCUUAACACAUGCAAGUCGAACGGAAAGGCCCUGCUUUUGUGGGGUGCUCGAGUGGCGAACGGGUGAGUAACACGUGAGUAACCUGCCCUUGACUUUGGGAUAACUUCAGGAAACUGGGGCUAAUACCGGAUAGGAGCUCCUGCUGCAUGGUGGGGGUUGGAAAGUUUCGGCGGUUGGGGAUGGACUCGCGGCUUAUCAGCUUGUUGGUGGGGUAGUGGCUUACCAAGGCUUUGACGGGUAGCCGGCCUGAGAGGGUGACCGGCCACAUUGGUACUGAGAUACGGCCCAGACUCCUACGGGAGGCAGCAGUGGGGAAUAUUACACAAUGGGCGGAAGCCUGAUGCAGCAACGCCGCGUGCGGGAUGACGGCCUUCGGGUUGUAAACCGCUUUCGCCUGUGACGAAGCGUGAGUGACGGUAAUGGGUAAAGAAGCACCGGCUAACUACGUG
rnacentral:rRNA from 1 species